GACUGUAGUUUGAUGCGGAUUAAUCCUUAGGUCGCUGGUUCGAAUCCGGCAGGUCGGAAGUUUAUUU
rnacentral:sRNA from 1 species